AAACGCUUGAAGUCAGUCGCGUCUUCCGGAACUCAGCCUGGCUUUUGCCUGGUGUACUUUCUGGUUGGACGGGCCAGCAUCAAUUUCGAUCGUUGGAUAAAGGCGGCAGGAAUGUGGCAUCUUCGGGUGUGUUAUAGCCUGUCGUCGCAUACAACGGUUGGGAUUGAGGAUCUCAGCAUGCCUUUACGGUCGGGGUUCGCCCACGUUCAUGCUUAGGAUGCUGGCGUAAUGGCUUUAAACGA
rnacentral:rRNA from 1 species